rnacentral:rRNA from 1 species
UACGUAGGGUGCAAGCGUUAAUCGGAAUUACUGGGCGUAAAGCGUGCGCAGGCGGCUUUGCAAGACAGAUGUGAAAUCCCCAGGCUUAACCUGGGAACUGCAUUCGAGACUGCAUUGCUAGAGUAUGGGAGAGGGAAGUGGAAUUUCCGGUGUAGCGGUGAAAUGCGUAGAUAUCGGAAGGAACAUCAGUGGCGAAAGCGACUUCCUGGACCAAUACUGACGCUCAUGUGCGAAAGCGUGGGGAGCAAACAGG